UAAACGGCCCUUUUCAGGGCCAUCCAUAUUUUACAGAAAGAGUCU
rnacentral:ncRNA from 1 species